CCUACGGGAGGCAGCAGUGAGGAAUAUUGGUCAAUGGACGGAAGUCUGAACCAGCCAAGUCGCGUGCAGGAAGACGGCUCUAUGAGUUGUAAACUGCUUUUGUACAAGGGUAAACCUGAACACGUGUAUCCAGCUGCAAGUACUUUACGAAUAAGGAUCGGCUAACUCCGUGCCAGCAGCCGCGGUAAUACGGAGGAUCCAAGCGUUAUCCGGAUUUAUUGGGUUUAAAGGGUGCGUAGGCGGAUUGAUAAGUAAGAGGUGAAAUGUCCGGGCUUAACCCGGGAAAUGCAUUUAAUACUGUUGAUCUAGAGAGUAGAUGCGGUAGGCGGAAUGCGUGGUGUAGCGGUGAAAUGCUUAGAGAUCAUGCAGAACACCGAUUGCGAAGGCAGCUUACCAAUCU
rnacentral:rRNA from 1 species